rnacentral:rRNA from 1 species
UGGGGAAUAUUGCGACAAUGGGCGAAAGCCUGAUCCAGCCAUGCCGCGUGUGUGAAGAAGGCCUUUUGGUUGUAAAGCACUUUAAGUGGGGAGGAAAAGCUUAUGGUUAAUACCCAUAAGCCCUGACGUUACCCACAGAAUAAGCACCGGCUAACUCUGUGCCAGCAGCCGCGGUAAUACAGAGGGUGCAAGCGUUAAUCGGAAUUACUGGGCGUAAAGCGCGCGUAGGUGGUUAUUUAAGUCAGAUGUGAAAGCCCCGGGCUUAACCUGGGAACUGCAUCUGAUACUGGAUAACUAGAGUAGGUGAGAGGGGAGUAGAAUUCCAGGUGUAGCGGUGAAAUGCGUAGAGAUCUGGAGGAAUACCGAUGGCGAAGGCAGCUCCCUGGCAUCAUACUGACACUGAGGUGCGAAAGCGUGGGUAGCAAACAGGAUUAGAUACCCUGGUAGUCCACGCCGUAAACGAUGUCUACCAGUCGUUGGGUCUUUUAAAGACUUAGUGACGCAGUUAACGCAAUAAGUAGACCGCCUGGGGAGUACGGCCGCAAGGUUA